GACGAACCGUCCAAACGUUAUUCGGAAUCACUGGGCUUACAGAGUUCGUAGGCGGUCUGGAAAGUUGGGUGUGAAAUCCCUCGGCCUAACCGAGGAACUGCGCUUGAAACUACCAGACUCGAGGGAGAUAGAGGAAAGCGGAACUGAUGGUGGAGCGGUGAAAUGCGUUGAUAUCAUCAGGAACACCGGUGGCGAAGGCGGCUUUCUGGGUCUUACCUGACGCUGAGGAACGAAAGCCAGGGGAGCGAAACGGG
rnacentral:rRNA from 1 species